AGAAUCUCGUCAGUUAAGGACCUGGUCAGUUGGGUCCAGUCAGUGGGGGCCUGGUCAGUGGAGACCUAGGCCAUCAGUGGGUCCUGGAUAGUGAGGCCUGGUCAUUGGGGUCCUGGUGCUGCAUCUGUGAUCUCAAGUCUCUACUGGAAUUGGAUAGAGAUGGUGAAUUUCAGCCAGAGCGCCCAAAGAACUCGUGUCCCGCGCUCCUGAACGCCAUCAGCCGCCGCACCUCCAUCUUCCCUCCUCCCACGAGUCUCCUGCUCCCCGUGACUCUGGCCUCCUCGCAGUGUUGCUGGGCCACGUCAGGAAGUGCUGGAGGACGUGGCAUUGCACCAACACCAGGCGGCCAGCCGUGUGGCUCAUCCCGCAAAUCAGGCUCUUCCUGUGCAUGGAGAUGGAGUCCCUCUGGAGGCAGCCCGUGGCCCUGUUCUCGGGCAGGUGGAGCAUGGAGACGACUGGGAACUUCACUAGACACGCAUCCAGCCGGUUCAAGGGCUUGUCGCGCCGUGCACCAGCUUGCAGGAGAAAGCCCAACGCCUCGCCAAGCACGAAGGCCUCCCUUCCCGACUUGAUGAAGGCAGAGUAGCGGUUGAGGUUGCGGCUCACAGUGACCGAGCUCCUGCCCACGUGGGGACCCAGGGAGCCGUCGAGCUCCAGGUAUGCACCUCUGCCCAGUGCACCUGGAUCGUUCACCGUCAUGGAGCUGCCAUCCCACUUGUCGUCCCAGUCAUCAUCACUGCCCUAGCUGGCCUAGUUGCCACCAAGGAGCUGCUGAGGCCACGGCUUCAGGGCAUCCCUACCGCCUGGAAAUCCUGCGCUGGCUGCUGGAAGGCACUCUGUGGUGGCACCAGCUGCGGCUGCAGUAGCAGCUGGAAAGCACUGAGAGAUGGCUUCAAGGAGGCAGGCAGUGCACCGGGCAGGGCCUUGAAACCUCUGGGUGGUACAAUGGCCAUGGCACAGUGGGUCAAGGCACAGGGGCAGCCAUGGCGCGCUGGGCCAGUCCAGGGUUGCAGACCACUUGCACUGCAGAUAUAAGGCCAGGGUUGCUGAGGCCAUGAGCCCCUGCGAGUCAGCCCUUGAUGUCCUGCUCACUACACAGGCUCAGCACUUCAUGUUCUCAUAGAUCACUCUCAAAUUUUCUGCCAUCAAGUGGUACAGCAA
rnacentral:lncRNA from 1 species